UUUUCAUUAGAAAUUUUACUCCCAUACAUUUCAGCAUUAAUCUUCAUUUAAUUUAUUUCACUAUUUCUACUUUGAGUAAAUUCAAACUGAAAGAUCGAGAGAUUGGUUUAUAGAUGCCUACAUAUGUCACAGUGUUACCUCACAAAUACAAAAAUUAACUCACUAUUAUGUUGUCAGCUGUUUUCUUUUUUUGCCUAAUCAGUGUUUUUAUGAAUGGUUGGUUGAAUUCAAAUGAACUGUUUUUAAACUGUGAAAAGUUUCCAAAAAUUAUUAAAAAAUAAUUCCUUGUAUGGGAAGAAGGUUUAUCUUUCUAUGAAAGGUUGCAUGAUACAAUAAAGGGACACCAGAUUGAUUGGUAAAAGUUGCUAUUUUAACUACAUAAAAUAGAUACAUUUGAAAUAAAUCUGAAUGAAACUUCAUCAACCGACUUUAUGAAUAAAAAAAAAACUUCACACUGGCGUUAAAUUCUAGAUAAGGGACGAAGAAAGUAGAGUAGUUUUAGUAAAAUGUCUUAGCGUUUUUAUUGUAAUAUUUAAUUUUCACCCACAAUAUGGCAAUAAGAUUCAAAACGAUUUAAAAAAUAUUUUUAAUAAAUUUCAGUUAAAUAAUAAAAGUAGUCAAUAGAGGGAUACAUUUUUGAUAUAAAGUAAGGUUUAAGCCCUUUUAAUUGCGGGUCCCAUUUUGAUGAGCAAUAGUUCAUUAUUUCCCUUAUAAUUAAUGAAAAGAGAGGUUUUAUUGUUAUAAAACUUGGUUAUUUAGGCCCUUAAAAUGUGACGUCAGAUGAAAACGGUCUAAAGUGACAAGAUGGACGAAUGAUUGAGCAAAGAUAUCCGCUUUGACAAAGUUGAUGUUCAUUGCAGCAGACUGAUGAUUUUAAUUUACUACAGUCUUACAUUGCCAAACUUCCAUUCAAAAACCCUAUGUCGUCUCUAUGGUAGCUACUCAUACGUAAGGGUGAUCAUUUUGGUAAGAAUAGAAAAGCGUGCGAGGAGGAAGGAAUAAAUACGCAUGGCAUCAUUGUUUAAAUAAUGAUGAUAGUCGAUGGAGAACUGAAUAAAAUGCCUAAAAUAACGCCGCCUUCUGUCUGGAUUUCUGAAAAUGGAGGCCCAGGAAUUUUGAAAUACUUACCGGCUGAGAAACAGAUGGCUUGUCGGAUUUGUCGAUAUAAAUGUGCUUUUAGUCCCCCUUCUACAAUUAAACUAUUCAUAAUAAUCUCAAUCAAAUUUCUGGGACCAUCACAGCUUUAGAAGGACGAUUACCCUUACUUGUCAGCAUUACCAUCGUUGAACUGCUACGAAAUUAUAUUAAGCUAGAGCCAUUCCGAUCUAAAUUGACCAAUUUUCUAUCAGAAAAUCCAGCUUACAAUGAAUUGCAAGACCUAGCCUGUGUUGAACAUUCAAUUUAAUAGAAAUACCCCCAUUGUAAAUUGUGAAGUUGAGAGAAUUUUCAGCAUGUUUAGAGUCAUCCACACCAAAUCACGAUCAAAGUUAUCAAUAAAAACUAUAAAAUAUUUACU
rnacentral:lncRNA from 1 species